AUGGAAUUAAGAUUUCCCAGGUUUAGCCAAGGCUUAGCUCAGGACCCCACUACUCGUCGUAUUUGGUUUGGUAUUGCUACCUCACAUGAUUUCAAAAGUCAUGAUGAUAUUACUGAAGAACAUCUUUAUCAGAACAUUUUUGCUUCUCACUUUGGGCAAUUAGCAAUAAUCUUUCUAUGGACGUCCGGAAAUCUAUUUCAUGUAGCUUGGCAAGGAAAUUUUGAAUCAUGGAUACAAGAUCCUUUACACGUAAGACCUAUUGCUCAUGCGAUUUUGGAUCCUCAUUUUGGUCAACCCACUGUGGAAGCCUUUACUCGAGGAGGUGCUGCUGGUCUAGUGAAUAUUGCUUAUUCUGGAGUUUAUCAGUGGUGGUAUACAAUAGGAUUACGCACCAAUGAGAAUCUUUAUACUGGAGCUCUUUUUCUAUUAUUUCUUUCUACGCUGUCCUUAAUAGCGGGUUGGUUACAUCUACAACCCAAAUGGAAACCAAGCCUUUCGUGGUUCAAAAACGCGGAAUCUCGUCUCAAUCAUCAUUUGUCAGGACUUUUCUGGGUAAGUUCUUUGGCUUGGACAGGACAUUUAGUUCAUGUUGCUAUUCCCUCAUCCAGGAAUAAUUUCUUAGAUGGAAUAAUUUCUUAG
rnacentral:rRNA from 1 species